CCUACGGGAGGCAGCAGUAGGGAAUCUUCCGCGAUGGACGAAAGUCUGACGGAGCAACGCCGCGUGAACGAUGAAGGCCUUCGGGUCGUAAAGUUCUGUUGUUAGGGAAGAACAAGUGCUAGUUGAAUAAGCUGGCACCUUGACGGUACCUAACCAGAAAGCCACGGCUAACUACGUGCCAGCAGCCGCGGUAAUACGUAGGUGGCAAGCGUUGUCCGGAAUUAUUGGGCGUAAAGCGCGCGCAGGCGGUUUCUUAAGUCUGAUGUGAAAGCCCCCGGCUCAACCGGGGAGGGUCAUUGGAAACUGGGAAACUUGAGUGCAGAAGAGGAAAGUGGAAUUCCAAGUGUAGCGGUGAAAUGCGUAGAGAUUUGGAGGAACACCAGUGGCGAAGGCGACUUUCUGGUCUGUAACUGACGCUGAGGCGCGAAAGCGUGGGGAGCAAACAGGAUUAGAUACCCUGGUAGUCCACGCUGUAAACGAUGAGUGCUAAGUGUUAGAGGGUUUCCGCCCUUUAGUGCUGAAGUUAACGCAUUAAGCNCUCCGCCGUGGNGACGUCGCAGACNGAACACAAGAGAGUAGCGNGNGAGAGCGACGACGACGACGACGGAGGGAGGAG
rnacentral:rRNA from 1 species